GGGACACUGGACUGGGGCUGGGUUCCAGAGUGCGGACACUGAUUUCCUUGAGAAUUCAGCGUCAGCAGCCAGUAUUCGUGAGAUCAUAUUCAGUUGUAUAGAUCCCACAUGGUCCAGAAAAUCCGAAGUCAGAACUUGGGUAGGAAAGGCAGCCGCAUCCCUGCGACCCCCUCACCACCGUGGACAGGCCCGGGAUCAGAAGGCCCUGCCCCAGCAGCUCCUAAGGGACUUCAGCAAGGGGAGAAGGGUGUCGGCUGCCCUUGAGGGCCACCGCACGCCGGCAACGCCCGCCUGCCCUUCUGUCUUCCUGGAGGACGCUCAUCAUUACACCGAGCCCACCUGGUUCAUCCGCCCUCUUCUCAGGCAUUGUACCACAGGCGGAGAAAAGGCACAGGGGCAUUCCAGGAAGGGCUGUGCUGUGAGCUGAGGGAUGGACUGGAGAGAAGCCCUUACACUUUCGGCCAGUGAUGUGCCUGGUGUUCAGCCACGAACAUGGGGGCCAUUGUAUUAUUCCAGCCUUUAACAUGGAGUCCACCAAAAAAAUGUAUACAUCCAGAAACUAAGAACUUGUAUAAAUAUUUUUAUUGCAUCAUCAUGAGAUUAAUUCACGUUAUCUCUUUCCUCAAUUACAAGUGGUGGCCAUGAGACAUUUAUUAUUAUGGUGAACUGCUGAUGUGUGGGUCCAUUUUUUGGGCAGACUCUAUAUUUUAAGUCUCUGUAGGGGACAGGGGAAGGGGACGUUACCAGAACCUCUGCAGUGAGUCCUGGUCUCCUGUGAGCCAUGGCAGCACAUGGUGAAUUACAGGAAAGGUAGAAAAAUGAGACUGAGAAGAAACUGAGCUUUGGGUCUGAUCAGUGCUGCUCUGGGCAGCAAAGACAAAGCCCCCAGCUUACCACACCUUUUAUUCAGUACAUCGGGAGAAACAAAUGUAACAGAUGACUUGCAGAGAGUUCAGUAGUUCACAUUGGAACAAACAAGGUGUAACAAAAGGCUUGCAGAGAGUUCUGUACAUCUCCUGUAAACAAGAUGUUAACAGUCCAAGAACAACGAGGAACUGAGCAGAUGUUUGUUCUCCCAGGAUGUUUCUUGUCCUGGAGAAUCACAGCAUCACUGGAUCACUGAAGUCUCAGUUGUGACCGGAGGCCAAACUGGAGUUAUUCUGUAGCUGGGCUGUAGGCAAGAGAACUAGGCUAACCAAAUGAUUUUUCCUUAGAAUUAUGUAGCAUUGCUCCCAACAAAUCUCCCUAAUAAAACCUUGUUUUAAAAGCUGUUUUCAGGUGAGGGCGUGGACAAGCAUCCUCGGUGGAGGACUGUGUGGGGCGUGGAUUACAGGACCGUGCAGGGCACUGUCCUACACUACCAACACCCUUGCCAGUGCUGGGGAAGGGGCUGCAGAGACCUGAGGGUGCCCUUGACAGCAGCCGCAGUGUCAUCCCAGGCACCUGUG
rnacentral:lncRNA from 1 species